rnacentral:rRNA from 1 species
GACGAACGCUGGCGGCGUGCUUAACACAUGCAAGUCGAACGGAAAGGCCUGCUUUCCCUUGUGGAUUGCGGGUACUCGAGUGGCGAACGGGUGAGUAACACGUGAGUGAUCUGCCCCCAACUUGGGUAUAAGCCUGGGAAACUGGGUCUAAUUCCCGAUAGGACUGCAGGGUGGUGCCUGUGGUGGAAAACGAUUUUCUAGUGGUUGGGGAUGAGCUCGCGGCCUAUCAGCUUGUUGGUGGGGUAAUGGCCUACCAAGGCGGCGACGGGUAGCCGGCCUGAGAGGGUGGGCGGCCACAUUGGGACUGAGAUACGGCCCAGACUACUACGGGAGGCAGCAGUGGGGAAUAUUGCACAAUGGGCGGAAGCCUGAUGCAGCGACGCCGCGUGGGGGAUGACGGCCUUCGGGUUGUAAACUCCUUUCGACCGCGAGGAAGCCACCUGGUUGGAAGGGUGGUGACGGUAGUGGUAGAAGAAGCACCGGCUAACUACGUG